rnacentral:rRNA from 1 species
GAUGAACGCUGGCGGCGUGCCUAAUACAUGCCAGUCGAGCGAACAGAUGAGGAGCUUGCUCCUCUGACGUUAGCGGCGGACGGGUGAGUAACACGUGGAUAACCUACCUAUAAGACUGGGAUAACUUCGGGAAACCGGAGCUACUACCGGAUAAUAUAUUGAACCGCAUGGUUCAAUAGUGAAAGACGGUUUUGCUGUCACUUAUAGAUGGAUCCGCGCCGCAUUAGCUAGUUGGUAAGGUAACGGCUUACCAAGGCAACGAUGCGUAGCCGGCCUGAGAGGGUGAUCGGCCACACUGGAACUGAGACACGGUCCAGACUCCUACGGGAGGCAGCAGUAGGGAAUCUUCCGCAAUGGGCGAAAGCCUGACGGAGCAACGCCGCGUGAGUGAUGAAGGUCUUCGGAUCGUAAAACUCUGUUAUUAGGAAAGAAAAAAUGUGUAAGUAACUAUGCACGUCUUGACGGUACCUAAUCAGAAAGCCACGGCUAACUACGUG